AUGUGAUCAGGAGUGCACUCACAAGAUUGUACCUCCCGUGAAGGCCCUUCAUCCAGACCGCCUGGCCAGUGGUUUGCCAUGUUGCAUUUCAUCAUGCCUUGGGAAGACUUACCUUCAUCGCACCGUCCAUCGCUGCGCUGGGGGACACUUAUCUUGAAGGAUCCUGACAUCUCCGGUGCUGUGCCUGUCCUGGGAGCGUGAGUAUACAAGUACACUGCGUUACUUGCAUCACCUGUUGCUGUCAGAAUGGCUGAAGUGGGAGCCAUGAAAUUGACAACUCCAGUGACAAGUGUGAAGCCCUACGUUGCCACAGAUUUAGAUGAACAUUACUAAUAAUUAAUGCACCACCAAUCAAUGAGCACUUUCAGUGCCUCAGACUCCCAAAGC